GGGAAAAUCAAUCCCCCAGAGACCUGGGAAAUGGCUAACAGCCCUUGGAGCCCACACUGCCAAUCUCUAUCAGACAAAGAAAUGCCCCAGGGCUCAGAGUGACAGGGCCCAGGCUGAAGACAGCAACGUGACCAGCAGGCUCACGCCCCUCUCCGGGUCUCUGGACCUGCCCCGGCUCACUCCCUCCAGCCCGCCAUCCCCGGCUGAGGCACCUGUUCCCAGUCUCGCGGUUGGUGGCGCAGAGCGCGGGUCCGGACAGCGCGGACAGCCGGAGCCGGAGGAGCAGGUCCCAGGAGCCCAGCUUCGCAGCGCACCUGGUGGUGAGAGCAUCGCCCCCCAGGAGAAGGCAAAGAUAGGCCCAGG